UUUCCGUAGGCGAACCUGCGGAAGGAUCAUUCAUAAUAAAGUGUUUUAUGGCACUUUUUAAAAAUCCAUAUCCACCUUGUGUGCAAUGUUAGAUCUCGUCAAUCUUGGCGAGAUUUUUAUACAUCAACUCAAUCUUUAACUAAUUUGUCUGAAAAAUAUUAUGAAUACUUAAUUCAAAAUACAACUUUCAACAACGGAUCUCUUGGCUCUC
rnacentral:misc_RNA from 1 species